AACGAACGCUGGCGGCAUGCCUAACACAUGCAAGUCGAACGAGACCUUCGGGUCUAGUGGCGCACGGGUGCGUAACGCGUGGGAACCUGCCCUUAGGUUCGGAAUAACUCCCCGAAAGGGGUGCUAAUACCGGAUAAUGUCUUCGGACCAAAGAUUUAUCGCCUUUGGAUGGGCCCGCGUUGGAUUAGCUAGUUGGUAGGGUAAAAGCCUACCAAGGCGACGAUCCAUAGCUGGUCUGAGAGGAUGAUCAGCCACACUGGGACUGGGACACGGCCCAGACUCCUACGGAAGGCAGCAGUGGGGAAUAUUGGACAAUGGGCGGAAGCCUGAUCCAGCAAUGCCGCGUGAGUGAUGAAGGCCUUAGGGUUGUAAAGCUCUUUUACCCGGGAUGAUAAUGACAGUACCGGGAGAAUAAGCUCCGGCUAACUCCGUG
rnacentral:rRNA from 1 species